CCUACGGGAGGCAGCAGUGGGGAAUAUUGGGCAAUGGACGCAAGUCUGACCCAGCAACGCCGCGUGAAGGAAGAAGGCUUUCUGGUUGUUAACCUCUUUUUAGGUGGAAGAGCAGAAGGCGGUACCCCUUGAAUAAGCUACGGCUAACUACGUGCCAGCAGCCGCGGGAAUACGGAGUUGGCAAGCGUUGUCCGGAUUUAGUGCGUGUAAAGGGCGUGCAGGCGGGAAGACAAGUCAGAUGUGAAAUCCCGCGGCUCAACCGCAGAACUGCAGUUGAAACUGUUUUUCUUGAGUAUCGGAGAGGUAAUCGGAAUUCCUGGUGUAGCGGUGAAAUGCGUAGAUAGUAGGAAGAACACCAGUGGCGAAGGCGGAUUACUGGACGACAACUGACGGUGAGGCGCGAAAGCGUGGGGAGCAAACAGGAUUAGAUACCCUAGUAGUC
rnacentral:rRNA from 1 species